rnacentral:rRNA from 1 species
CCUACGGGAGGCAGCAGUGGGGGAUAUUGCACAAUGGGGGGAACCCUGAUGCAGCGACGCCGCGUGGGUGAAGGAGUGCUUCGGCAUGUAAAGCCCUAUCGGCAGGGAAGAAGCAAGACGGUACCUGACUAAGAAGCCCCGGCUAACUACGUGCCAGCAGCCGCGGUAAUACGUAGGGGGCGAGCGUUAUCCGGAUUUACUGGGUGUAAAGGGAGCGUAGACGGCUGCGCAAGUCUGAAGUGAAAGCCCGGGGCUCAACCCCGGGACUGCUUUGGAAACUGUGUAGCUAGAGUGCUGGAGAGGCAAGCGGAAUUCCUAGUGUAGCGGUGAAAUGCGUAGAUAUUAGGAAGAACACCAGUGGCGAAGGCGGCUUGCUGGACAGUAACUGACGUUGAGGCUCGAAAGCGUGGGGAGCAAACAGGAUUAGAUACCCCAGUAGUC